UCCGCAUGCUUUGUAAAUUUUUGUUUGAUGCGAAACACCGCUGGUAUGCGCCUGCGUCGGUUUCUCGCUAAAUAAUCGCUAAAGAAGAAAAUGCGUCGGAAACCAGGAAAGGAUCAAGUAUUUUAGAAAACCAUUCUUAAUUUUUCCCUCUGAAACUUAGAUGGAAGCGUCAAAGUCUUAAAAUUGUUGUGUGGUUUGUGGAAGGAAGUGAUUUUCAAAAAACAAAAAAAUCAGAAGUUGACAUACUGGUACUCAGCUUCUACACAUAUUGUCUGAAAGGUGGCAAAGUUGUGAACUAAAACAAAAAGAAACAAGGAGUUCCAGCCCCUUGAGUAAUUAUCUAUUUGCUGUAUCACUCAUCUCAUGCGUUAAGAUCCAAAGAAAGUUGGAUUAUUUCAAUCUGGGUGCAUCAUAGUGUACUUCGACUCAAAUUCAUUUCACAUGGCAGAGGUAUACUACUGAAGUAAACAAGACAAAAUUUGUUUCAAAUAACACAUGAAGAUGAAGAAAACGGCACCAGUUUAAACUCAUCAGACAAAGCCCACGCAUUUUUUGUGGUAAAGAGACUGGUGUUGAGGGAUUUGGGGUCAUGUGAUAAAGUAAGUUCUAUU